rnacentral:rRNA from 1 species
GUAGGGUGCGAGCGUUAAUCGGAAUUACUGGGCGUAAAGCGUGCGCAGGCGGUUUUGUAAGACAGGUGUGAAAUCCCCGGGCUUAACCUGGGAACUGCAUUUGUGACUGCAAGGCUAGAGUAUGGCAGAGGGGGGUAGAAUUCCACGUGUAGCAGUGAAAUGCGUAGAGAUGUGGAGGAAUACCGAUGGCGAAGGCAGCCCCCUGGGUCAAUACUGACGCUCAUGCACGAAAGCGUGGGGAGCAAACAGGAUUAGAUACCCUGGUAGUCCACGCCCUAAACGAUGUCAACUAGGUGUUGGGGGAGGAGACUUCCUUAGUACCGCAGCUAACGCGUGAAGUUGACCGCCUGGGGAGUACGGCCGCAAGGUUG